GACGAACGCUGGAGGCGUGCUUAACACAUGCGAGUCGAACGAUGAAAUGGAGCUUGCUCCAUGGAUUAGUGGCGAACGGGUGAGUAACACGUGAAUAACCUGCCCUUAAUUUUGGAAUAACCCAGGGAAACCUGGGCUAAUACCGGAUAAGUAAACCUGUGGCAUCACAUGGUUUUGGAAAGUUUUUCGAUUAAGGAUGGAUUCGCGGCCUAUCAGCUUGUUGGUGAGGUAAUGGCUCACCAAGGCGACGACGGGUAGCCGGCCUGAGAGGGUGAACGGCCACACUGGGACUGAGACACGGCCCAGACUCCUACGGGAGGCAGCAGUGGGGAAUAUUGCGCAAUGGACGAAAGUCUGACGCAGCGACGCCUCGUGAGGGACGAAGGUCUUCGGAUUGUAAGCCUCUUUCAGCAGGGACGAAGCGAAAGUGACGGUACCUGCAGAAGAAGCACCGGCUAACUAUGUGCCAGCCGCCGCGGUAA
rnacentral:rRNA from 1 species